rnacentral:rRNA from 1 species
GACGAACGCUGGCGGCGUGCCUAAUACAUGCAAGUCGAGCGAACGGACGAGAAACUUGUUUCUCUGAUGUUAGCGGCGGACGGGUGAGUAACACGUGGAUAACCUACCUAUAAGACUGGGAUAACUUCGGGAAACCGAAGCUAAUACCGCAUAAUAUCUUUAAACGCAUGGUUCAAAAUUGAAAGACGGUAUUGCAUCAACUAAUAAAUGGAUCCGCGCGGCAUUAGCUAGUUGGUAAGGUAACGGCUUACCAAGGCAACAAUGCAUGCCGGACUGGAGAGGUGGUUGGCCCACACUGGAACUGGACAACGGUCAAGAUUCCUACGGGAGGAGCCAGAAGGGAAUCUUCGGCAUGGGGGGAAGUCUUGCCGGAGCAAGGCGGGGUGGGGGAUGAAGGUCUCCGGACCGUAAAACCCUGUUAUAAGGGAAAACGAUAUGUGGAAGGAAAUGUGCACAUAUUGACGGUACCUAAUCAGAAAGCCACGGCUAACUACGUG